rnacentral:misc_RNA from 1 species
UAUGAUAUCUCUGCUCUGGCAUUGUUUUAUGUUUGUUGAAGUUUAGUAGGAUAAUUACUCAGUUAUCUGUGGAAAAUUUUGCUGUUAUGCUAAUGUCAAAACUACUUUGAAAAUUAUUAGUUUUGAAUUGGUUCAAGAAGCUAAAAACUAUCUAAUGUUUUGGAAUUGUGAGGGUAUCUGAAGGGAUUUUGUUGGAUCUAAAAACUGGGGAAGGGUUGUGUUUCACAUUCUGCUAAAAGUGGAAAAUAGUGAUGUGUGCCACAUCCUUGAUAAGUCUUUGGUCAAGGGACCUAUUGUAAUGCUCCCUUCUGCAUGGGGGGUAGAGAUGGGAGGGGUGGAUUGGUUUGUCAAUUUGUCGUAGUCAAUUCUCAAUCUUGUGUAGCCAAUAGAUGUUAAUGUUUGUUGUGUUGUUCAUAUUCUGUUAACUAAAAGCAAAUUUUAUUUACCUGGCUAUUGGAAUGGAAUGCUAUCUUGCCUGGGAAGAAUGAUUAAUAAUGAUAAUCUUCAUGUGCAAAG